AGUGGUUAGCUGUUAACUAAAAUAUUACGGGAUCGAGGCCCGUCAUUCUAG
rnacentral:tRNA from 1 species